UAUAUAUAUAUAUAUAUACAUAUAUACAUAUAUAUAUAUAUAUAUAUAUAUAUAUAUAUAUAUAUAUAUAUGAGUCCGGCUACUAUACUAUUGAUAGUACCAAGCCUUUGGUAGUAUAGAGUUUUCUACCGUUAGAUCUACCCUGUGAUCAUUUUCACCCGUUAGAUUAUACUAUUAAAUCAACCACCCACUCAACCCUAGGGGAUCAUUAUCAUCCUAACCGCACAUCCUUUCAUCCAACAGCCAAAAACUCAAUAGUACCAAGGGCUUGGUACUAUUGAUAGUAUUGGAGCAUAAUUCUAUAUAUAUAUAUAUAUAUAUAUAUAGUCCGGUUAGUAUAUUAUCAACAGUACCAAGAUCUUGCUACUAUCGAAUUUUUUGCCGUUAGUUCUAUCAUUUGAUCAUCUUUACUCGUUAAAUUAUACUAUUUAACCAACCACCUACUUAACCUUAGGGGACUACUAUCAUCCUAACUGCUCAUCAUUUCAUCCAACAGCCAAAAACUUGAAUAUACCAAAUGUUUGGAAAUAUAGAGUAUUUGAUGCUUUCGAUUUUUUGACCUUUGGAUGAAGAAUUAUAUGGUUGGGAUGAUUGCGAUCCUCCUAGAGAAAGUCGGAAGUACUGGAUUCUAUAUACUUCCGAUAGCAUAGUAGCUCUCUCUCUCUCUCUCUCUCUCUCUCUCUCUCUCUCUCUCUCUCUCUCUAUAUAUAUAUAUAUGUAGAAUCCAGCUACUAUACUCUUAUGAGUACGAUCGCUUUCGUACUCAUAAGUCGUUUUUGAUGAUAGAGCUUCCGAAUCGACGAUCCAUACCGUUAAACAUUUUCUAGAGCAUUUAAAACUUCUAGAAAUUAAAUUUUAUAAUUUUUCGAUAUCAUUUACCUUAUGAUCAAUAGCUCACAAAAUUAACAAUUUUUAACGGCCGGUAUGUGAUACUUGCUAGUUUAACGGUGUAAAAGUAUCAGAAUAGCUUGAAUUUUUGAUAGAAAAUUCUAUUCAUUACCUAGAUAAAGAUCAAUAACCCCGAUAUUAAAUUGAAGGAUCCGAUCAUCCAUUUUUAGGACGUCGUUCGAUUUUGACCGUUCAUUUUAUAUCCGCUUGAUGGACUUUAUAAUGAUUUCGAAAAGUCACGAAAUUUAUUUUUUAGAAGUUUCAAAUACUCUAGAUCAUGUUUAACGGUGUGGAUCGUCGAUUCGGAAGCCCGAACAUCGUAAACAACUUAUGAGUACGAAGGGCUCUAUACUCAUAAGAGUAUAGUAGCCCUACUCUCUCUAUAUUUAUAGAACUAGGCUACUAUACUAUCGGUAGCACAGAGUGCUCCGGGCUACCAAGUUGUUUUCGAUGAUGCGGCUUUCAAAUCGACGACCGGCUCCGUUAGACUUGAUCUAUACUAUUGAAAGUAUUUAGAAACUAAAUUUCAUAAUUUUUCGCUAUCAUUUACCUAUCAAACAAGUAGUCUAAAAUUGAACGACUGAAAAUAAAAAUUUCAUGAAAAUGAUGAUAAAAGAUUUAAUUGAAGAUCAGGUAUACUGAUCUUACUCUAAAUAGUGAAAAGAAUUUUUUAUAAAAUUUUCAUCGCAUUUGGAUUGUUUUAUACCGUUAAACUCACAAACACACCACAUCGGCCAUUAAAAUUGUCAAUUUUGAGAUCUUUUGAUCACUAGUCAAAUGAUGUCGAAAAAAUUUGAAAUUUAGUUUCCAACAUGACUCUAAUUAUAUAUAUAUUUUGUAGAGAAAUAAAAUAAUUGAGAUUCAUGUUAUUUAUGUUUGUUAGAUAUUAAAUUUUAUUGAAUAAAAUAUAGGUAUGUGAAGUUUGAACACGAAUGUGAG
rnacentral:lncRNA from 1 species